rnacentral:rRNA from 1 species
UGGGGAAUCUUGGACAAUGGGCGCAAGCCUGAUCCAGCCAUGCCGCGUGGAUGAUGAAGGCCUUAGGGUUGUAAAAUCCUUUCGUGGGGGACGAUAAUGACGGUACCCCAAGAAGAAGCUCCGGCUAACUUCGUGCCAGCAGCCGCGGUAAUACGAAGGGGGCUAGCGUUGUUCGGAUUUACUGGGCGUAAAGCGCGUGUAGGCGGGUCGUUAAGUUGGGGGUGAAAUCCCGAGGCUCAACCUCGGAACUGCCUUCAAAACUGGCGACCUGGACUCAAGUAGAGGCAAGUGGAAUUGCGAGUGUAGAGGUGAAAUUCGUAGAUAUUCGCAGGAACACCAGUGGCGAAGGCGACUUGCUGGACUUGUAGUGACGCUGAGACGCGAAAGCGUGGGGAGCAAACAGGAUUAGAUACCCCCGUAGUCCCUGAGCGGGCUGGCAAGGCGCAU